UGUAGUGUCGACAUAACUUGUACACGUGCUCUCUGAAAACACGUGUAUACGAGCAGUAUCUUAGUGGAUUUUGUGUGCUUCAAAAUAUCAAGAAUUAAUUAUACAAAUAAUAAAUUGCAAUCACAUUUUUAUAUAUAUUAUUUUUGUGUGAUUUUUUAUAUUCAUAAUGACAACAACUAUAAUGAACUUACCAGAGGAAAUGAUAACCAACAUUCUCAGCUAUAACGUUAUUCUUAAAUCCUUUCCUAAAGAGAUAAUCUAGUGAAUACUUAAAAAUAGAACACCUUUUUUAUUACAUGUUUUUCUUAAAAAUCUCUCAAUCUCAUUAAUUUAUUGCUGUAUUAAAUUAUUUGGUGUAGGUUUUAAAAAAUAAAUUUGGAAAUGAAAUCAUUGUAUUUAUAAUAUAUCAGAGUGUAGCUAGGAGACUUACUUACGUUCCGAUCUACUACAUGUGCCCUUUCAUGUCUGUAUAUUUUGGAAAUCUAAAUAAAUGCAAGAAAUUCCCCAAAUGGCUUGUCGACAUUACAUCGUAUUACAAGUGUUUGGUUUCUAAAUCAGAUCCAUCAAUCUACCCAAUAGAGGGUACCAAAAAGAUGUUUUCCUGGGUAAGAGCGUUAAAUAGAUAGUUUAUGCAGGAACUUGAAAUAUUUUCUAGUGGAUUAGUCACAGUAAAUUGGAAUAUGCUGUAUAAUUUUAGUAAAUUACAUAUUAAAGAUUUUUAAUAAAACAUGAGAGGACACAUACAAAACGUUGCUCAUUUCACAUCAAAUAUUAGAGCAGAUAAAUGAAGACGUAAAAUAUGCAGUUGGUAUAAUUAUAACAUAUGAUCAUUUUAAUGAUUAAUCUACAGAUAGUUCGGCCAAAAUAAUCAAAUGUAAUCGACAUGUAAAUACACAUGAUACAUUCUAUA